rnacentral:rRNA from 1 species
UGGGGAAUUUUGGACAAUGGGCGAAAGCCUGAUCCAGCAAUGCCGCGUGUGUGAAGAAGGCCUUCGGGUUGUAAAGCACUUUUGUCCGGAAAGAAAUCCUUGGCUCUAAUACAGUCGGGGGAUGACGGUACCGGAAGAAUAAGCACCGGCUAACUACGUGCCAGCAGCCGCGGUAAUACGUAGGGUGCAAGCGUUAAUCGGAAUUACUGGGCGUAAAGCGUGCGCAGGCGGUUUGCUAAGACCGAUGUGAAAUCCCCGGGCUCAACCUGGGAACUGCAUUGGUGACUGGCAGGCUAGAGUAUGGCAGAGGGGGGUAGAAUUCCACGUGUAGCAGUGAAAUGCGUAGAGAUGUGGAGGAAUACCGAUGGCGAAGGCAGCCCCCUGGGCCAAUACUGACGCUCAUGCACGAAAGCGUGGGGAGCAAACAGGAUUAGAUACCCCUGGUAGUCCACGCCCUAAACGAUGUCAACUAGUUGUUGGGGAUUCAUUUCCUUAGUAACGUAGCUAACGCGCUGAAGUUGACCGCCUGGGGGAGUACGGUCGCAAGAUUAAAACUCAAAUGAAUUGACGGGGUCAUAGCUGUUUCCU